CUCCCUUCUCCUCUUUUCCUUCUCUUUGCAAAACUAGGGUGGAGUUCCAGUAUGUUGCUAUUUUUUUAUCAAUGGGAGUUGGACUACAAUUUAUGUUUGGAUCUAAUAAGAAUUCAAGCUUAAAAAUUAGUAUGUAUAUAAAGAAGGGUUGAAAAGUUACCGUGGGAGAUAUGACAUGGGACAAUAUUUAAGCGCUCGGGUAGAUCCCAAG
rnacentral:lncRNA from 1 species